rnacentral:ncRNA from 1 species
GGGAUUAUUAGGGAUGCCUAGCAGAUAUGUUGAAAAGGAAGUAGAAUACUAAAAGUAUAGAUACAAUCAGAAUAUUUAUACAAUCCUAAGGUAAACCGAAUAGUAUAGAACGUUGGGAAGUAAAACAUUACAGUACCAAUAGGAAAGGAAAUCAAAAGAGACUCUGGGAGUAAUGGUGAGUGAAACCAGAAUAGCCAAAAUUUUUACUAACACGCAUAGUACUUUGGAAUAAGUAGACAUUAAAAUAGUGACGUAUGUGUACAAUAUUUACUGGGCUCCGCCCUGCCCAUAGAAGGUGAAAGUCCUGUAUGUGAUGAAAGUAAAGAUGUUAUUAAGUAAUAUGAGGACGUCAGCCUUGUAUGAAUAAGGGGGUACCAUCCUCCAAGGCUAAGUAUAACAUAUCUAGCGAUAGUGAAGAGUAACGUGAGUGAAAGGUGAAAAGUAAGUAGAUGACUAGUGAAAUAGAACCUGAACUAGUAAUCCU